CCUACGGGGGGCUGCAGUGGGGAAUAUUGGACAAUGGGCGAAAGCCUGAUCCAGCAAUGCCGCGUGAGUGAUGAAGGCCUUAGGGUUGUAAAGCUCUUUUACCAGGGAUGAUAAUGACAGUACCUGUAGAAUAAGCUCCGGCUAACUCCGUGCCAGCAGCCGCGGUACUACGGAGGGAGCUAGCGUUGUUCGGAAUUACUGGGCGUAAAGCGCACGUAGGCGGUUUUUCAAGUCAGGGGUGAAAGCCCGGAGCUCAACUCCGUAAGUGCCCUUGAAACUGGAUGACUAGAAUCUGGGAGAGGGCAGUGGAAGUCCGAGUGUAGAGGUGAAAUGCGUAGAUAUUCGGAAGAACACCAGUGGCGAAGGCGACUGACUGGACAAGUAUUGACGCUGAGGUGCGAAAGCGUGGGGAGCAAACAGGAUUAGAUACCCCGGUAGUC
rnacentral:rRNA from 1 species